ACGGGAGGCAGCAGUGGGGAAUAUUGGACAAUGGGGGGAACCCUGAUCCAGCCAUGCCGCGUGUGUGAAGAAGGCCUUUUGGUUGUAAAGCACUUUAAGCGGGGAGGAGGCUCUUCUAGUUAAUACCUAGGAUGAGUGGACGUUACCCGCAGAAUAAGCACCGGCUAACUCUGUGCCAGCAGCCGCGGUAAUACAGAGGGUGCGAGCGUUAAUCGGAUUUACUGGGCGUAAAGCGUACGUAGGCGGCUUUUUAAGUCGGAUGUGAAAUCCCUGAGCUUAACUUAGGAAUUGCAUUCGAUACUGGGAAGCUAGAGUAUGGGAGAGGAUGGUAGAAUUCCAGGUGUAGCGGUGAAAUGCGUAGAGAUCUGGAGGAAUACCGAUGGCGAAGGCAGCCAUCUGGCCUAAUACUGACGCUGAGGUACGAAAGCAUGGGGAGCAAACAGGAUUAGAUACCC
rnacentral:rRNA from 1 species